rnacentral:lncRNA from 1 species
AUAGUAGGUGCUGUGACAAGGUGACAAUAGGCUACAUGGGAACCCAAAGGAUGGCCCAGUUAAGCCUCAACACAGCCCAGUGUUAUUAUCAUACCCAUUUUGUAGAUGAGGAAACUGAGGUUCAAAGGAGUAAACUCCACUGUUUACCUGGUCAGUUUGGUUUUGGCCAAUUUUCCUCUGCAGGGAGUAAGGAUAAAGAUGGGGAUGGAAAAGACAAGUUAGAGGGGCUCUCAUGGAUCAGCCAGUUUCAGCCUCUUUGUUGAAAUGAUGGGGAAACUGCUGGGUGUGGUGGCUCAUGCCUGUAAUCCCAGCACUUUGGGAGGCAGAGGCGGGAGGAUCACUUGAGGCCAGGAGUUUAAGACCAGCCUGGGCAACAUAGCGAGACCUCAUCUCUAUUGAAAAAAAAAAAAAUUAGCCGGGUGUGGUGGCACCCGCCUGUGGUCCCAGCCAGUUGGAAGGCUAAGGUGAGAGGAUCGCCAGAGCCCAGGAGGUAGAGGCUGUAGUGAGCCAUAAUCAUGUCAUUGUGCUCCAGCCUGGGCAAUGGAGUGAGACCCUGUCUCAAAAACAACAGCGACAACAACAAAAAAGAAAUGAUGGGAGGUUGGGUGCGGUGGCUCACACCUGUAAUCCCAGCACUUUGGGAGGCUGAGGUGGGAGGAUCACUUGAGGUCAGGAGUUUGAGACCAGCCUGGCCAACAUGGUGAAACUCCAUCUCUACUAAAAAUACAAAAAAUUAGCCAGGUGUGGUGGUACAUGCCUGUAAUUCCAGCUACUUGGGAGGCUGAGGCACGAGAAUUGCUUGGACCUGGGAGACGGAGGUUGCAGUGAGCCGAGAUCGCGCCAUAGCACUCCAGCCUGAGCAACAGAGUGAGAUUCUGUCUCAAAAAAAAAAAAAAAAAAAAGAUGGGGAAACAGACCUGGAAGGGGAAGGGAUUUUCUUGGAGCCACACAGGAAAGCAGUGGCCAGGCUGCACCUAGAGUGAUCAGGUUUUCUGACUCCCGCCUGGGGUGUGUUUCCUGAUGCCAAAUGCCUUUCUCUUCUCUGGCUGUUGGAAGAUUUCCUGGAACCCUUUACCUGGGACCCUGCUCAGCUGUGGUCUCUGUGUUACCAGCUCCGCCACCUCCGCUUAGGCCUUAGACUCCAGAAAGGAUAAAAAAAAGAAGUUAGGAUGGACCUGAAGCCAGACACAGAUGUGUGUGCACAUGGGGGAAGCUGUAGGAUGGAGUAGGAUACCUCCCUUCCCCCAUCCCUCCCCCAGGAGGCCCCAGGGGUGCCCAGGUGUUGGGAGAGACAAGGGGAGACUCUGAAGCCUGGGAGCCCUGCCAUUGGGGAUUGGAUCUGUCUCCCUUCUCUGCCACAUCCCCCUGGCUUGGGGUUGCUGGGGUGGGCUAAGGAGGCAGGCGAGACCUGGGCCUCACAGUGUAGCCAGGAGGGAUGGCGUCCAGGCUGCUCUCUUGAAGCUGCUGGUAAAUGAAUAACCCUGCCCCUGCCUCCAUGGCUCCCCGGCUCUCCUGGCCAGGGACUGCUGGGGGUGGAGGCAGAUGCAACCCCUUGGUCCUCUGCCCAUGCCUGCAAAUCCCAUCCCAGACAGACCCAGAGAAACCUCCUCUCGGUUCCCUCCAUCUCCUUUCCCUAAGCCCCUUCAUUGUCUAAGGCGACCUCCUUCUCCCAUCCUUUCCUCUCACUAAGCCCGGCCCCUUCACUGAGCCCCCUCCAAUCUCUAAGCCCCCUUCCCUCUUGGAGCCCUUCCCCUUGCUGAGCCCCACCCCUUUUCCAGUCCCAUCCUUUCAUCCUCAUCCCCUCCCUCCCUCUCUUUCUUUCCCUCUCUUUCCCUCCCUUCUACCCUCCCUCCCUCUAUCUCUUCCUCUUCCUCCCUCCCUCUUUCCCUCCCUUUCUUUCUUUCCUUUCCUUCCUUCCUUUUUUUUCUUUUUUCUUUGUCUUUCCUCCCUUUCUUUCUUUCCCCUUCUUUCGUUCUUUCUCUUUCUCUUUCUUCCUUUCCUCUUUCUCUCUCUUUUCCUCCUUCCCUUUCUCCUUUCCUUUCUCCCUUCCUCUCUUUCUCUUCUUUCUUUCUCUUUCUCUCCCUCCCCCAUCUUUCUUUUUCUCUCUUUCUUUUCCUUUCCUUCCUCUCUCUCUCACUUUCACUCUCUUCUCUCUUGCCCCCCCCUUCUCUCUCCUCUCUCUCUCCCAUCCUUCUCUCUUUCUCCUUUUUCUUUUUGAGAUGGAAUUGUACUCCAGCCUGGGUGACAAGAGCAAGAUCGUCUCAUUAAAAAAAAAAAAAAAAAAAAUUAGCUGGACAUGGUGGUGUGUGCCUGUAGUCCCAGCUAGCUGCCACAGGGAUCUUUUGCCCUUUUUGCUUUAGCUUUGCUGCAGCCAAAAACAUUUUUUUGUAUUUUUUUAAAUUAUUUGUUUAUUUAUUUAUUUAUUUAUUUUUUUGAGGCAGGGUUUUGCUCUGUCACCCAGGCUGGAUGGAGUGCAGUGGCGUGAUCAUGUCUCACUGCAGCCUUGACCUCUCUAGGCUGAGGUGAUCCUCCAACGUCAGCCUCCAGAGUAGCUGAAACUGUAGGCAUAUGCCACCACACUCGGCUGAUUUUUUUUUUCUUUUUUUUUUUGAGAUGGAGUCUCACUGUCUCCCAAGCUGGAGUGCAGUGGUGCGAUCUCGGCUCACUGCAACCUCCGCAUCCCGGGUUCUAGCGAUUCUCCUGCGUCAGCCUCCCGAUUAGUUGGGAUUGCAGGUGCCUGCCACCACGCCCAGCUAAUUUUUGUAUGCUUUGUAGAGAUGGGGUUUUGCUAUGUUGCCCAGGCUGUGUUUGUGUUUGUGUUUUUAGAGACAGCCUGUCACUCAGGCUGGAGUGCAGUGGUGAAAUCAUAGCUUGCUGUAGCCUCGAACUCCUUGGCUCAAGUGAUCCUCCCAUCUCAGCCUCCCGUGUAACUGGGACUACAGGCAUGCACCACCAUGCCUGGCUAACUUUUAAAUUUUUUUGUAGAGAUGGGGUCCUUGCUAUAUUGUCCAGGCUGGUCUCAAUCUCCUGGCCUCAAAUGAUCCUCCCACCUUGGCCUCCCAAGGUGCUAGGAUUACAGACAUGAGCCAUCAUGCCCAGUAUCCAAAACAUUUGAGAUACAAUAAUUUAGAAAAAAAAAAGGCCAGCUGGGUAUGGUGGCUCACGCCUGUAAUCCCAGCACUUUGGGAGGCUGAGGCAGGCGGAUCACCUGAGGUCGGGAGUUUGAGACCAACCUGACCAACAUGGAGAAACCCUGUCUCUACUAAAAAUACAAAAUUAGUCAGGCAUGGUGGCAUAUGCCCGUAAUUCCAGCUACUUGGGAGGCUGAGGCAGGAGAAUCGCUUGAACCUGGGAGGCGGAGGUUGCGGUGAGCCGAGAUUUCGCCAUUGCACUCCAGCCUGCACUCUGUCUCAAAAAAAAAAAAAAAAAAAAAAAAUUGGGCCAGGCGCAGUGGCUCACGCCUGUACUAUAAUCCCAGCACUUUGGGAGCCCAGGCAGGCAGAUCACCUGAGAUCAGGAGUUUGAUGCCAGCCUGGCCAAUGUGGUGAAAUCCCGUCUCUACUACUAAUACAAAAAAUGAGCCAGGUGUGGUGGCACACACCUAUAACCCCAGCUACUUGGGAGGCUGAGGCAGGAGAAUUGCUUGAACCCAGGAGGUGGAGGUUGCAGUGAGCCCAGAUCACGCCACUGCACUCCAGCCUGGGUGAUGGAGUGAGACUCUGUCUAAAAAAAAAAAAAAUUUCAAGUCUCCCCAGUGCCCAAAUACAUGUGCAACCCUCGUUUCCCUUCAAGUUGCUGGCUCGACCUACAAGUCCCUUUCUUUUCUUUUUUUUUGAGACAGAGUCUCGCUCUGCUGCCCAGGCUGGAGUGCAGCGGUGAGAUGUCAGCUCACUGCAACCAGUUCAUCAUGUUGGCAGGGCUGGUCUUGAACUCCUGACAUCAGGUGAUCCUCCCGUCUUGGCCUCCCAAAGUGCAGGGAUUACAAGCGUGAGCCACUGCCCCCAGCCACAAUACCCCCCUACUUUUUUUUUUUUUUUUUUUUUUUUUUAAGACAGAGUCUGUCUCUGUCACCUAGGCUAGAGUGCAGUGGUGCGAUCUCGGCUUGCUGCAACCUCUGCCUCCUGGGUUCAAGCAAUUCUCCUGUCUCAGCCUCCCAAGUAGCUGGGAUUACAGGCGUGUGCCACCACACCCGGCUAAUUUUUAAUAUUUUUGGUAGAGAUGGGGUUUCACCAUGUUGACCAGGCUGGUCUCGAACUCCUGACCUCAAGUGAUCCUCCCAAAGUACUGGGACUACAGUGCCCACCACCAUGCCUGGCUAAUUUUUGUAUUUUUAGUAGAGUUGGGGUUUCACCAUGUUGGCCAGGCUUGUCUUGAACUCCUGGGCUCAAGCUAUCCCCCUCACCCCAACCCCUGCCACGCCUCGGCCUCCCAAAGUGCUGGGGUUACAAGCGUGAGCCACUGCUCCCAGCCACAAUUCCCUUUCUAUGCAAAUCUCUUGCACGCAUUGUCUACGGCUCCUGGUUUCAACUCUCGCCUCCCACUCCCUUUUCCAUCUAGUGUUUCCGUUUCCACACCUCUUGCUAAGGCCACCAAUGACCACCUGGCUACUGUGAAUUCCGUGGCUAUUCCUCAGGUCUCAUCUUGCCUGACCACUCCUGCAACCUCAGACACUGUUGCCCACACCCACCUCCUUGAAACUCUUUUUGUUCUGUGAGUUUCUAGACUGACUUCUUCCCCGACCCUGGUUUCGGUUGCCAUCCCUAUGCAACGACUUUCAGGUUUACGAGAUCUCUAGACGUCAUCCUACUUCCUGGACGUCUCUGCCAGGACGUUCUCCAGACUCGCCAAACUCUACAUUUAUUUUAUUUUUAUUUAUUUAUUUUUUGAGACAAGAUCUCACUCUGUCGCCCAGGCUGGAUUGCAGUGGUGCAUUCUCUACUCGCUGCAGCCUCAAUCUCCUGGGCUCAAGUAAACCUCCCACCUCAGCCUCCCAUGUAGCUGGGAUUACAGGCAUAUACCACCACACCUAGCUAAUUUUUAAUUUUUUUGUAGAGAUGGGGUCUCACUAUGCUACCCAGGCUGGUCUCGGACUCCUAGGCUGAAGAUACUCUCCAGCCUUGGCCUCCCAAAGUGCUGGGAUUACAGGCGUGAGCCACCAUGCCCUGGCCUCACCAAACUCUAUACGUUCAAAAUGGAACCCAUCAUCUUUCCGUCUCCUAUUUUGGUAAAUGAUACCACUAUCCAAUCAGUGACCUAAGUUGAAACUCCCAGAUUCCAGCCUUCUUUUCUAGAUUCUCGCCUCUCUCACCCUGCACAUCCAAAUGGCUCCCGGGUCCUGCCCACUUUAACAGCCCCUGUCAGGUUCUGCCCCCACUCCCUGCCCCUGCCUAAUUUCUGGCCACCAUCAUUUCACUCCAAGAUGGCGGCAUAUCCUGUUAGGUGGUUCCCCUCCUUUAUCUUUCUCCUUGAAUCCCAGUUCCACAGGGGCUGCUGGAGAGGUUAAAAGCAUCUGACCAGGUACUUCCCCUUUCAUGACUCCCUACACCCAGAGUAAGGUUCAAAGUUUGUAAUUCCACAUACGGACUCUCCAUGACUUGGCCUUUGCUUGCUGGAGUCCUGGGCUUUACUGACACUUCCUGUCUCCCUUUAUGUUCCAUCCAGUCAUUUGAAUCUCUCGCCCCCACCAAGUCACCCUGUGCCUGGGUUCAGGCCCCUUUUCCCGCCUGAAUCUCCUGUGUUUUCUCCAAGGCACCAGUGCCUCUCCACACUGUUCACCUUAACCACUCCUCUGGGGUGUGUGUGUGUGUGUGUGUGUGUGUGUGUGUGUGUGUGUUUUGUCGUUGUUGUUUUUGAGACAGGGUCUCACUCUGUUGCCCCAGCUGGAGUGCAGUGGCACAAUCAUAGCUCACGGUAGCCUUUACCUCCUGGGCUCAAGCCAUCCUCCUGCUUCAGCCUCCUGAGUAGCUGGGACCACAGGUGUAUGCCAUCAUACCCAGUUAAUUUUUUUUUUUUUUGGUAGAGAUAGGGUCUUGCUAUGUAGCCCAGGUUGGUCUCGAACUCCUGGGCUCAAGCGAGCCUCCCACCUCGUCCUCUAGGAGUGAGCCAGUGAGACCCGGCCUCAAGCCCCUCUGAGAUACCCCUUCUAAGUCCUCCCUCUUUCCCUCCCUUGAGGGUCCCAGGAAGGAGAUGGGGACCCUUUCUCAUCUCUCCCCCAGGUGAGAAGAUUUGGCCCGGUUUUACUUUUGGUGGCGUGUUUUAUCCAAACAAUAGGUCUUUUUGUUUUCGUUUUUCCAAUAGGAAAUGGCAGUACGGAAUGCGCUCUUUCACAAGGCGCACGGGAGAUUCCGAAUGUGUCGGGUAUUGUGCGGGGUCCGGGCUCCCAGCACAGACCCAGGGGCACAUCUCUGCCACCUUCCCCUCCCAUCCCCAGCCAUGGCGUGCGGAAAGUGCUCAUGGAGGUGGAGGCGCUGGGAACAAGGAGGCUCCAGCGAGUGCAAAACGAAAGGCUUUUAUUGAAAAAUAUCAAGUGCCCCUUCCAGGGCUGCCGGUUUCACAGUCCAUGCAGGUUGGUCCCUGGGCCCCGAAG